UGGGGAAUCUUAGACAAUGGGGGAAACCCUGAUCUAGCCAUGCCGCGUGAGCGAUGAAGGCCUUAGGGUUGUAAAGCUCUUUCAGCUGGGAAGAUAAUGACGGUACCAACAGAAGAAGCCCCGGCUAACUCCGUGCCAGCAGCCGCGGUAAUACGGAGGGGGCUAGCGUUGUUCGGAAUUACUGGGCGUAAAGCGCACGUAGGCGGAUCGGAAAGUCGGGGGUGAAAUCCCGGGGCUCAACCCCGGAACCGCCUUCAAAACUAUCGGUCUGGAGUUCGAGAGAGGUGAGUGGAAUUCCGAGUGUAGAGGUGAAAUUCGUAGAUAUUCGGAGGAACACCAGUGGCGAAGGCGGCUCACUGGCUCGAUACUGACGCUNAGGUGCGAAAGCGUGGGGAGCAAACAGGAUUAGAUACCCCUGGUAGUCCACGCCGUAAACGAUGAAUGCCAGUCGUCGGGUUGCAUGCAAUUCGGUGACACACCUAACGGAUUAAGCAUUCCGCCUGGGGAGUACGGUCGCAAGAU
rnacentral:rRNA from 1 species